CUUCUGUCUAGUCUGAAGCGAUCCUCAAUCAGCUUGUGCCCAUUAUUUCUAGUCUUCCCCUAGGGGGCCUUGUUGAAAAGUUGCUCCCCCAGGCCCUGAUGUUUGCCUUUGAUAUACUUAUAGGCUGCCACCAAAUCUAGUGCUCCAGGGAAUUCCUGGUCAAGCUGUUCCUUUUGGUUUGGAGGUCUUUAAUAAACUCCUAUGGUCAAAUCCCCUUCUCCAUACUCUCCCCAUAUCUUGACCCGGAGGGUCUCAAGUCACCCUUC